UUGACCUCGCAUCAGGUAGGAAUACCCGCUGAACUU
rnacentral:rRNA from 1 species